UGGUGGAGUGAUUUGUCUGGUUAAUUCCGAUAACGAACGAGACUCUAGCCUACUAAAUAGGUAGCUCAUACCGUGGUUCUCCUCGGUAAUGGGCCUACGCUUCUUAGAGGGAUUAGCGCAUCUAGUCGCAUGAGAUUGAGCAAUAACA
rnacentral:rRNA from 1 species